rnacentral:rRNA from 1 species
ACUCAAAGGAAUUGACGGGGGAGCGCACAACCGGUGGAGCAUGUGGUUUAAUUCGAUACAAAGCGUAAUACCUCACCUAGGUUUAAUAUAUCUGCAAAUCCUGUGAAAGCAGGACUUCUUCGAGAGUGAUAUACAGCUGUUGCAUGGCUGUCGUAAGUUCGUGUCGUGAGGCGUCCUUUUCAGUAAGGUAACGAACGCAACCCCUAUCGUGUGUUAAAUAUUCACGCGAUACUGCCAUUGAUUAUCUCAAUGGAGGAAGGUGGGGACGACGUCAAGUCAGCAUGACGCUUACACCUAGGGCCACACACAUCCUACAAUGGAGAGUACAAAGGGUCGCCAACCCGCAAGGGGGAGCCAAUCCCAUAAAACUCUCCUCAGUUCAGAUUGAGGGCUGCAACCCGCCCUCAUGAAGUCGGAAUCGGUAGUAAUCGCGGAUCAGCAGGCCGCGGUGAAUACGUUCUCGCUCCUUGUACACACCGCCCGU